AGAGUUUGAUCCUGGCUCAGAUUGAACGCUGGCGGAAUGCUUUACACAUGCAAGUCGAACGGCAGCACGGACUUCGGUCUGGUGGCGAGUGGCGAACGGGUGAGUAACAUAUCGGAACGUAUCCAAUAAUGGGGGAUAACUAAUCGAAAGGUUGGCUAAUACCGCAUACGCCCUGAGGGGGAAAGCUGGGGAUCUUCGGACCUAGCGUUAAUGGAGCGGCCGAUAUCUGAUUAGCUAGUUGGUGGGGUAAAGGCCCACCAAGGCGACGAUCAGUAGCUGGUCUGAGAGGACGACCAGCCACACUGGAACUGAGACACGGUCCAGACUCCUACGGGAGGCAGCAGUGGGGAAUUUUGGACAAUGGGCGCAAGCCUGAUCCAGCCAUUCCGCGUGAGUGAAGAAGGCCUUCGGGUUGUAAAGCUCUUUCGCAAGGGAAGAAACGUGACGAGCGAAUAACUCGUCAUAAUGACGGUACCUUGAUAAGAAGCACCGGCUAACUACGUGCCAGCAGCCGCGGUAAUACGUAGGGUGCGAGCGUUAAUCGGAAUUACUGGGCGUAAAGCGUGCGCAGGCGGUUUUGUAAGUCAGAUGUGAAAUCCCCGAG
rnacentral:rRNA from 1 species